GCUUGGAUUGAUUCUCCAAGGUUGGCUACUAGGAUGGUGUGGCUUCUGAAUGAUGUUUAUGACGUUGAACACCGGGCCUAUUUUAUGUCGGAGAAGAAAAUGGUAAGUAGAUCAUAUGAUAAAAAAUCAUGUAUUUAAUAAGCACUUGAAAAUGUAAUGAUAUCACUUACUCCUAUCUGUUUGCAGGAGCUUA